CCAUGCACCAUAAUCUCAAGAGACAUCUCAUAUCAUGAGGAUUUAAGAAAUGCAUGGAGAAUAUGGAAGGAAUUAAGAGUUUCAAGAGAAUUGGACUCUUCCACUUCUCAUCACAUAAAUGUGUGGCAUCCCAAUUUAUUUUAGCAUGGAGAAGGACUCCUCCUCCUCUUCCAUGUCCACAUGUCUCAAAGCCCCAUCUGAUGGUGCACAA
rnacentral:lncRNA from 1 species